rnacentral:rRNA from 1 species
AGAUAUUAUCCCCUUGUAGUGUAGUUUAAUAGCUAUCUACAUAAUAACUUAAUAUAAAGUAUAAUAGUUUAUAUUUUAUAAUAUGACGUUAACAAUUUUGUUUAAUAUUUGAAAAUGUUAGUAUUAGUAAUAUUAGUAUAUGUGCUAAAGGAACUCGGCAAAAAACCACUCAACUGUUUAUCAAAAACAUAGCUAUAUGAAUUAAUAUAUAGUUAUUUCUGCUCAAUGACUUAAAUAGCCGCAGUACUCUGACUGUGCAAAGGUAGCAUAAUCAGUUGGCUUUUAAUUAGAGUCUGGUAUGAACGAAAAUAUGGGUAGUAACUGUCUUAGCACAUUUUUCCGAACUUAUUAAACAAGUGCAAAUGCUUGUAAUUUAACAAUAGACGAGAAGACCCUAGAAACUUGGACAAGUUUUUGUUGGGGCGACAGAAUUACAUUUAACUAAUCUUAUAAUACACGACGCGAUGUUGAAAGAAUAAGUUACUCUAGGGAUAACAGCAUAAUUUCAUUAGUUUGUGACCUCGAUGUUGGACUAGGUACUAUACCCUUAAGGCAAGGAUAUAUUAUGCUCUGUUCGAGCAAAAUUACCUACAUGAUCUGAGUUCAGACCG